rnacentral:rRNA from 1 species
GGUGAGCGGCGAACGGGUGAGUAACACGUAGGUGAUCUGCCCAUCAGACGGGGACAACGAUUGGAAACGAUCGCUAAUACCGGAUAGGACGAAGUUUAAGGUGCUUCUGGCACCGCUGAUGGAUGAGCCUGCGGCGCAUUAGCUAGUUGGUAGGGUAAAGGCCUACCAAGGCGACGAUGCGUAGCCGACCUGAGAGGGUGAACGGCCACACUGGGACUGAGACACGGCCCAGACUCCUACGGGAGGCAGCAGUAGGGAAUCUUCGGCAAUGGGCGAAAGCCUGACCGAGCAACGCCGCGUGAAUGAUGAAGGCUUCGGGUUGUAAAAUUCUGUUAUAAGGGAAGAACGACUUUAGUAGGAAAUGGCUAGAGUGUGACGGUACCUUAUGAGAAAGCCACGGCUAACUACGUG